rnacentral:tRNA from 1 species
GGGCCCUUAGCUCAGCUGGUAGAGCGCUUCCAUGGCAUGGAAGAGGUCAGCGGUUCGAUCCCGCUAGGGUCCACCA